rnacentral:rRNA from 1 species
GAUGAACGCUGGCGGCGUGCUUAACACAUGCAAGUCGAACGGAACCUUUAAGCCUGCUUACUUCUCUUUGAAGUCUUGUGUGAGUGAGUGGCGUGCGUGUGAGUCUCCCGUGGGGAACCUGCCUCAUACAGGGGGCUAGAAGCUGGACACGACUGUUAAUAACGCAUAAGGGCACAGUACUACAUGGUUCAGUGCGAAACACUCCGCCGGUAUGGGAUGGACUCGCGUGGGGGUAGCUUGUUGGCGGGGUGACGGCCCACCGCGGCGGCGAUGAGUAGCCGGGGUGAGGGGAUGACCAGCCACCGUGGAAGUGAGACACGGUCCAGACUCCUACGGGAGGACGAAGUGGGGAAUAGUGCACGAUGGGCGGAAGCGUGAUGCAGCCAUGCCGGGUGUAUGAAGAGGCCCUGCGGGGUGGAGAGUACUUUAAGCGGGGAGAAAGGGAAUAAAGAGAAAACCUGCGCUCAGUGACGUUACCCGCAGAAGAAGCACCGGCCAACUCCGUG